rnacentral:lncRNA from 1 species
UUUUUUUUUUUUUUAAAUCUUUCUGUAUGGACCUACAGUUGUCACUCUGCAAAGUUAUUCAUAUUUCUCAUGUAAACUUGAACUGUCCAUGAAAUUAUUAGAAAAGGAAAGAUCCCCAUUUCACUACAGAGCUUAUUAUUUUCCCUUUUAAAUAAUAAGUGGUCUUGUCUGAAAUUUUUUCAGGUAGGUUUAGAAUUAAGCCACUCUUCAUUGUUAAUCAAAUCACAUGAUUUUGGCCAUUAGCUCUGAUCACUGAUAUGCAUUAGCAGUAAGCCCUGAGAAAUAACUCUAAAAGUGAAAGUCCAAAGGACUAUUGAUUUGCCCUUAAAAGGUAUAUGUAUCCAGUGGAAUUUAAACAUUCCCAGCUUUACAGAAGACUUAGGUGUAGAUAAUGAGUGUGUAUAUGCACAUACACAUCCUCCCCACACAUAUACACACCAUCACACAUACCAAGAAGUUCCUCGGAAAUUUUCAGCAUCCCACAUUAUUGGCACAUUUCCAAUGAAUUGUAAAAAGCAGCAAAAUUCCUAGUUGAUGAUACAGUUUCCCAAAUCACUUCCAAGCUCUUCCCUCAGCCACUAGUUCUUAAAACAUGAAAGAAGAGAGGGCACUUUUCAUUUGAAAAAUGGUCUAUAAAGUUCAGAUGGGAGGGAGAGAGAAUUUGCCAAAGUGAUUAAGUCCAUGUGUGAAGGACUAAGCAAACCCCUCAGGCAUUCUGUCGCACGUUAUUUUCACUUUUUUUUUCAAUUUACACAACCAUGUGGGUGGCCACAUGUCUAUUUGUUUUCCUUGUUUUUCAAUAAGUGAAACUAGAGGUUGAGAAAGGGAGGUUAGAGGGGCAUGUUUUUUAACUCAUGGAAGUCAUGGUUUUAUUAUUUUCAGAUUGAGCCAAUGUGCAAUUGAACAAAGUUCUCUCAUUAGCUUAGCUCAAAAACAUAUGGUAAUUGUGCCUAUGAGGUUACUUUUGUGCAGCUUAUAUACUUCAGAACAUUUUUAUCUUUCAUUUCACUUACACAAUGUUACACUUAACACAGCUUGCAUUCUAAGACAAACAGAAUGAGAAUACCAAUCUUUACCUGAGAAUUUCAGAGAGAGAAAAAAAAGAAUCCUUAUCAUAUUGAUGCUAAAACUAUUGCUUCUAAAAAAGCAUAUGCAUAACUUUCUUAAUUUACAUCAUUUAAGAAAAAGUAAAUAUUAAAUUUGCUUUUAUGGAUGGUCCUGCAUUUUAAGUGUGAUUAACAAUCAACAAUUUGUGGAAGAAAAUUUUGAGAAUUAUGAGAAUUCUUCUGUGAUGUAUACCUUGUUAAGUUCCUGUGAUGUACUUAGUACUUCUAGGAAACUGGCCUGAGAAUUCAAAAAUUGGAAUAAAAUGUAUGAUAACUUAUUAACUGGUAUUCAGUGCCAGUGUGUUUCUCAUUUUAAAGAUCGUAUUUUGAUAUAAUUUUUACAUGACUUUAAUGAUUCAUUAUGGCAAGAAACUCCAAACAAGAAUUUACCCUAUUUUACUCAGCUCAAUUUCACUUUUACGUCUAUGUGAAAAAUAAUGAAGUAGCUAGCGUAGGGGAAACUAUCUGAAAAUAAAAGCCUAACAUCCCACAAUAUAAAAUGGUGGCAUACAAUCUAUCUCAUGGCAAUUUUUCCUUUUGCACAUACGGUUUUAUUUGACCCUAGUGAGUUCAUCAUAACUAUUCUGUUCAUGGAACAGUAUCAUGAUCAGUCCUGCCAAGAGCCUUCUUUUAUAUUGUUUUAUAUUACUUUUCUCCUUCAUUUUUUUCAUCACAUCUUUCACCUCUCCCUCCCAUGUAUACCUUUUAAUUUGCUUCAUUAAUUUUCUUGCAUAUUCAGGUACUCUCACAAAAGAUAGGCUUCCUGUGUAUGUGCUAUGUAUUUUAAUAUACAAGGGUGGUAUUUUGCUAUAUCUAUACUGGUUUUCAAAUUCUUACUCAAAAUCAAUUUUUAGCAUCAACCCAAGUUUCUAUAGAUAUUUCUACUUCAAUUGUUUUUAAUGGUUCAAAAUAUUUUACAUAUAUGCCCACUAUAUUUAAUCUAUGUGCUCCUAUAAUGGUAAGUACAUGGGUUAUCACUAACUCCUCCCUACCACAAAGAAGCUGCACUGACAUCCUUCAUGCUUUUGACUUUAUGGAUUUGUGCAAAUAAUUCUCUGGAAGAUAUGCUUAUAAUUUCCAUAUUAAUGUAUAAUUUCAUUGUUUUGUCGAUUGCUCUACAGAAUGACUAAAUUGUUUUACUCUUGUAAGCGGAUCAUGAGGCCUGUUGCUUCCACACAUCUACACAUUCAUUUGGUAUUAUUUGACAUGUUCAUAGUUGCCAAUCUGAUGGAUUUAAACUGAAAGACCUAAAUGUCAGACAGGAAACCAACCAAAUCCUAGAGAACACUGGCAAUAACCUCUUUGACAUCACCUGCAAUCACUUCUUACUAGACCUGCCUUGGGAGGCAAGAGGAACAAAAGCAAAAAUGAACCACUGGGACUUCAUCAAGAUAUAAAGCUUUUGCACAGUGAAGGAAACAAUAAACAAAACUAAAAGGCAACCUGGAUAUGUCAUUUGCAAACGACAUAUCUGGUAAGGGGUUAGUAUCCAAAAUAUGUAAAGAACUUACCAAACUCAACACCCCCAAAAUAAAUAAUCCAGUCAAGAAAUGGGCAGAAGACAUGAAUAGACAUUUGUCCAAAGAAGACAUACAGACAAUUAUCAGACACAUGAAAAGAUGCUCAACAUCACUCAGCAUGAGGGAAAUAUAAAUCAAAACCACGAUGAGAUGCCACCUCAUACCUGUCAGAAUGGCAAAAAUUAACAACACAGGAAACAACAGGUGUUGGCAAGGCUGCAGAGAAAGGGAAACUGUUUUGCACUGUUGGUAGGAAUGCAAACUGAGGCAGUCACUUUGGAAAAUAGAAUGGAGGUUCUUUAGAAAGCAAAAAUAGAACUACCCUAUGAUCCAGCAUACACUACUAGGUAAUUACCCAAAGGAUAAAAAUAGUGAUUCAAAGGGGCACAUGGGCUCUGAUGUUUAUAGCAACAUUAUUAACAACAGCCAAAUUAUGGAAAGAGCCUAAAUAUUUACCAACUGAUAAACAGAUAAAGAUGUAUACACAUGCAUAUACAUAUACACAUACAUGUGCACAUACAUAUAAUGGAAUAUUACUCAGCCAUCAAAAAGAAUGAAAUCUUGCCAUUUGCAACAAUGUGAGUGGAGCUAGAGAGUACUAUGGUAGGUGAAAUAAGUCAGUUAGAGAAAGAUGAAUACCAUAAAUUUCACUCAUGUGGAAUUUAAUAGACAAAACAGAUGAACAUAGGGGAAGGAAUGAAAAGAAGAGAGAUGAAGGCAAAUCAUAAGAGACUUAAAUAUAAGAGACAAACUGAGGGUUGCUGGAAGGGAGGUAGGUGGAGGAUGGACUAAAUGGGUGAUAGGUAUUGAGAAGGGCACUUCCUGGGAUGAGCACUGGGUGCUACGUGUAAAUAAUGAAUCUAAAUUCUACUUCAAAACCAAUGUUACACUAAAUGUUAACCAGCUAGAAUUUAAAUAAAAACUUGAAACCUGGGGUGCCAGGAUUGCUUAAUGGGUUAAGUCUCUGC